UACGUAGGGUGCAAGCGUUGUCCGGAAUUAUUGGGCGUAAAGAGCUCGUAGGCGGUUCGUCGCGUCGGCUGUGAAAACCUGAGGCUCAACCUCAGGCCUGCAGUCGAUACGGGCGGACUUGAGUACUGCAGGGGAGACUGGAAUUCCUGGUGUAGCGGUGAAAUGCGCAGAUAUCAGGAGGAACACCGGUGGCGAAGGCGGGUCUCUGGGCCGAUGACUGACGCUGAGGAGCGAAAGCAUGGGUAGCGAACAGG
rnacentral:rRNA from 1 species